rnacentral:rRNA from 1 species
GUACGCUGGCGGCACGCCUUAUACAUGCAAGUCGAACGAAGUAGCAAUACUUAGUGGCAGACGGGUGAGUAACAUGUAGGUAUCUUCCCUUUGGUGAGGAAUAACACGAGGAAACUUGUGCUAAUACCUCAUAAGUCUUCACGGAGAAAGCUUUAUGCGCCAAAGGAUGAGCCUGCACUUGAUUAGUUUGUUGGUGGGGUAAUGGCCUACCAAGACUUUGAUCUAUAGCUGAUCUGAGAGGAUGAUCAGCCACAUUGGGACUGAGACACGGCCCAAACUCCUACGGGAGGCAGCAGUAGGGAAUAUUGCACAAUGGAGGAAACUCUGAUGCAGCGAUGCCGCGUGAGUGAAGAAGGCCUUUGGGUUGUAAAGCUCUUUCGUCGGGGAAGAAAAUGACUGUACCCGAAUAAGAAGGUCCGGCUA